rnacentral:sRNA from 1 species
CUGUAGGUGGCUGAGGCGGAAAGAUGGCGGAGCUGCGCGCGCUCGUAGCUGUCAAGAGGGUCAUCGACUACGCCGUGAAGAUCCGAGUGAAGCCUGACAGGACCGGUGUGUCACGGAUGGCGUGAAGCACUCCAUGAACCCCUUCUGUGAGAUCGCAGUGGAGGAGGCUGUGCGGCUCAAGGAGAAGAAGCUGGUGAAGGAGGUCAUCGCCGUCAGCUGUGGGCCUGCACAGUGCCAGGAGACCAUUCGUACCGCCUUGGCCAUGGGUGCAGACCGAGGUAUCCACGUGGAGGUGCCCCCAGCAGAAGCAGAACGCUUGGGUCCCCUGCAGGUGGCUCGGGUCCUGGCCAAGCUGGCAGAGAAGGAGAAGGUGGACCUGGUGCUGCUGGGCAAACAGGCCAUCGAUGAUGACUGUAACCAGACAGGGCAGAUGACAGCUGGAUUUCUCGACUGGCCACAGGUGAGACUGGAGUGGGGAGCACCUGCUGAGGGCCAGGCCUCAUCCCUCAAACUUCAUUUCUGCCUCAAGGCCUUUGCAUUUGCUGUUCUCUCCUCCUGGAACACUGUUCCCUCAGAUUGCCUCAUGGCUUUCUUGUUCCCC